rnacentral:lncRNA from 10 species
CGGGCAGUGGCGUGCGCUUGCUCCUCUCCCGGCUGCCAAGGAGGCUGCUUCCAUGCCCCGCAGCCAGCUCCUGUCUGGCUGUGCAGCGCGUCGCUGCUGCCCCUGGUGAGACGAUGUUCCCAGCUGAGCAGCGCAAGAAGAGAGGCAAGAGCGAAAUCAAAGCAGCGUGGAGGAGAGAGAGGCAGAGAAGGGAGAAAGAACGAGAGAGCCAGACCGAAUCUGCCUCCACCAAUGGGAUCAGCGGCUGCGCAGCGUCAGGAGGCUGUUCUGCCAUCAAGAAGCAGACUCCGUGGAGGCCAUCGGGAAGAACAUCCAAGGAAAUGUGAGUCC